GCAGUCGUGGCCGAGUGGUUAAGGCGAUGGACUGGAAAUCCUUUGGGGUCUCCCCGCACAGGUUCGAAUCCUCUCGACUGCG
rnacentral:tRNA from 2 species